rnacentral:rRNA from 1 species
GGUUAAGUGACUAAGCGUACACGGUGGAUGCCUUGGCAGUUGGAGGCGACGAAGGACGUACUAACUUGCGAUAAGCCUAGUCAAGCCAGUAAGAGGCGCUUGAGACUAGGAUUUCCGAAUGGGGAAACCCGGCCCUUUGGGUCAUCAUGCAGUGAAUACAUAGCUGUAUGAAGCGAACGCGGAGAACUGAAACAUCUAAGUACCCGUAGGAAAAGAAAUCAACCGAGAUUCCGAAAGUAGCGGCGAGCGAAAUCGGAUUAGCCCUUAAGCUUUAAUGUAGUUAGUGGAACAUUCUGGAAAGUAUGACGAUACAGGGUGACAGUCCCGUACACGACAACUUAUUUAAAGUGAAAUCGAGUAGGUCGGAGCACGUGAAACUUUGACUGAAUAUGGGGGGACCAUCCUCCAAGGCUAAAUACUCCCAACUGACCGAUAGUGAACCAGUACCGUGAGGGAAAGGCGAAAAGAACCCCUGUGAGGGGAGUGAAAUAGAACCUGAAACCGUGUACGUACAAGCAGUAGGAGCCCAUCACCAAAGUGUCUUUCUUGACGUUUUUACCUCGGUAAGAGCGCGGGAUUUUCAAACAAGGUUGCACGGUUUUUUUGACCCGUAUCGCAGUGUACAUUCAAAGUACAUGAGAAACGGAAGCAAAAAAAGCGAUGCAAGAUUGACAGAAAAUACAAGCGGAAGAUAUUUCGGGAUGGGUGACUGCGUACCUUUUGUAUAAUGGGUCAGCGACUUAUAUUCUGUAGCAAGGUUAACCAUUUAGGGGAGCCGUAGCGAAAGCGAGUCUUAACUGGGCGCUUAAGUUGCAGGGUAUAGACCCGAAACCCGGUGAUCUAGCCAUGGGCAGGUUGAAGGUCAGGUAACACUGACUGGAGGACCGAACCCACUAACGUUGAAAAGUUAGGGGAUGACCUGUGGCUAGGAGUGAAAGGCUAAUCAAACCGGGAGAUAGCUGGUUCUCCCCGAAAUCUAUUUAGGUAGAGCCUCGGACGAAUACUUACGGGGGUAGAGCACUGUUAAGGCUAGGGGGUCAUCCCGACUUACCAACCCUUUGCAAACUCCGAAUACCGUAAAGUACUAUCCGGGAGACACACGGUGGGUGCUAACGUCCAUCGUGGAGAGGGAAACAACCCAGACCGUCAGCUAAGGUCCCAAAGUGUAUGUUAAGUGGGAAACGAUGUGGGAAGGCUAAAACAGCUAGGAGGUUGGCUUAGAAGCAGCCAUCCUUUAAAGAAAGCGUAAUAGCUCACUAGUCGAGUCGGCCUGCGCGGAAGAUGUAACGGGGCUAAACAUACCACCGAAGCUACGGCUGCGAACUUAUGUUCGCGGGGUAGGGGAGCGUUCUGUAAGUGGCUGAAGGUGUGCCGGGAGGCAUGCUGGACAUAUCAGAAGUGCGAAUGCUGACAUGAGUAACGAUAAUGCGGGUGAAAAACCCGCACGCCGGAAGACCAAGGGUUCCUAUCCCAUGUUAAUCAGGGUAGGGUGAGUCGACCCCUAAGGCGAGGCUGAAGAGCGUAGUCGAUGGGAAACGGGUUAAUAUUCCCGUACUUGGUAUAAAUGCGAUGGGGGGACGGAGCAGGCUAGGCAAGCAUGGCGUUGGUUGUCCAUGUGAAAGGCUGUAGGCUGGUGACUUAGGUAAAUCCGGGUCGCUAAGGCUGAGAGUCGAGACGAGCCACUACGGUGGUGAAGUUGUUGAUGCCCUACUUCCAGGAAAAGCCUCUAAGCUUCAGUUUAUAUCGAAUCGUACCCUAAACCGACACAGGUGGUCAAGUAGAGAAUACUAAGGCGCUUGAGAGAACUCGGGUGAAGGAACUAGGCAAAAUUGUACCGUAACUUCGGGAGAAGGUACGCUCUUACUUGUGAAGACUUCGCGUCGUAAGCAGGCGAGAGCCGCAGUGACCAGGUGGCUGGGACUGUUUAUUAAAAACACAGCACUGUGCAAAAUCGUAAGAUGACGUAUACGGUGUGACACCUGCCCGGUGCCGGAAGGUUAAUUGAUGGGGUUAGACUUAGGUCGAAGCUCUUGAUCGAAGCCCCGGUAAACGGCGGCCGUAACUAUAACGGUCCUAAGGUAGCGAAAUUCCUUGUCGGGUAAGUUCCGACCUGCACGAAUGGUGUAACCAUGGCCACGCUGUCUCCACCCGAGACUCAGUGAAAUUGAAAUCGCAGUGAAGAUGCUGUGUACCCGCGGCUAGACGGAAAGACCCCGUGAACCUUUACUACAGCUUGGCACUGAACAUUGACCCUACAUGUGUAGGAUAGGUGGGAGGCUUUGAAGCGCAGACGCUAGUUUGUGUGGAGCCGACCUUGAAAUACCACCCUUGUAGUGUUGAUGUUCUAACUUAGGCCCCUAAUCGGGGUUGAGGACAGUGCCUGGUGGGUAGUUUGACUGGGGCGGUCUCCUCCCAAAGAGUAACGGAGGAGCACGAAGGUUGGCUAAGUACGGUCGGACAUCGUACGGUUAGUGUAAUGGUAGAAGCCAGCUUAACUGCGAGACAGACACGUCGAGCAGGUACGAAAGUAGGUCAUAGUGAUCCGGUGGUUCUGAAUGGAAGGGCCAUCGCUCAACGGAUAAAAGGUACUCCGGGGAUAACAGGCUGAUACCGCCCAAGAGUUCAUAUCGACGGCGGUGUUUGGCACCUCGAUGUCGGCUCAUCACAUCCUGGGGCUGAAGUCGGUCCCAAGGGUAUGGCUGUUCGCCAUUUAAAGUGGUACGCGAGCUGGGUUUAGAACGUCGUGAGACAGUUCGGUCCCUAUCUGCCGUGGGCGUUUGAGAAUUGAGAGGGGCUGCUCCUAGUACGAGAGGACCGGAGUGGACGAACCGCUGGUGUUCGGGUUGUCAUGCCAAUGGCAUUGCCCGGUAGCUACGUUCGGAAUCGAUAACCGCUGAAAGCAUCUAAGCGGGAAGCGAGCCUCGAGAUGAGUUCUCACUUGGACUUUGAGUCCACUAAAGGGCCGUUGAAGACUACAACGUUGAUAGGCGAGAUGUGGAAGUGGUGUGAGCCAUUAAGCUAACUCGUACUAAUUACCCGUGAGGCUUAACCAU